UUUCUGGUGUACCAUUCUGUGCCAGAGCCAAAGCAACUGUCAGAAGGAGGAUUGCAAGGGAGUGAAAGUUUUUCCGAGUUGCUGCUGAAAUUUAAAGACCUGAAGAUGCCAGUGAGGGCGUUACUGCGGCUGGCACCGAUACUUCUUGGCAACCCACAAUCAAUGG